rfam:Triticum aestivum genome assembly, contig: Triticum_aestivum_CS42_TGACv1_scaffold_499767_6BL
GACAUACUCCCUCCGUCCGAAAAUACUUGUCAUCAAAAUGGAUAAAAAGAGAUAUAUCUAAAACUAAAAUACAUCUAAAUACGUUCUCUUUUAUCCAUUUUGAUGACAAAUAUUUCUGGACGGAGGGAGUAAAAC